CGUUACCUUUUCUUUAGCCAUUAAUUCAACAUACUGUCAUUGAAAACAAUGAAACGGCUUUCUCCAUUGAUUUUGGUUACACUCGCAUCUCUACUCCUCCAGAGCCACUUUCCCCGUUCUUCGUUUCUGUGACCCCUAUAAGCUAGAGAUGAGAUUCCGACGCAGAAGAGGAAUUAACUUCUGCAAUCCAAACCUCUUUUGGCUUUGAUUCACUUCUCUCACAAAUUCGCAGAGCCCUAGGUUGUGUUUUGGGCUACUCCCAUCUAGGGAGAAAUAUGUAGCAAUUACAAGAUUUCUUACAAUAUGCCAUACAUUUGUGAAGGGUAUAUGCUUAGUUUCCCACAGGUUCAUUUUGUUGAUCAACAAAAAACAUGGAAGCGAAUAACCACACAUUUGGAAGGUCCGUAGAAUGUGUAGAAGUUUUGAGGUACUAGAGAUUUUAUCGUGUUAUUGAAUUCGUAAGAACAUAGAAUGUGAUAUUUAUUGUUGAGUCUAUACUAGGUUUUAAUUUCUUUAGACUAUUCUUAAAGGAGAAAAAGUCAACAAGGAUAUGGACAUUUUUAAAGCCUACCCAACUAUCCAGGACGAAUGAACCCAGACGACAUAAUUUUUUUUAAUAACUAACAUAGUUCAAUGUUUUGGUUUUGCACGGUCACUAAAAUAUGGGAAAUUCAGAAGUGGAGUAUCAUUUCAAAUGACUCAUAUGAUACCUUUGUAAACUAUAAAACACAACCUUUUUUUUAGGAAAGAGAGUGUAAAAAUUAAUUAUGAUAAAUUUGUGGCUUGAGGAUACA